rnacentral:rRNA from 1 species
CUACGAGUUUGAUCAUGGCUCAGGAUGAACGCUAGCGGCAGGCCUAAUACAUGCAAGUCGAACGGAUAUAUGUUUUUCGGAAUAUAUAUUAGUGGCGCACGGGUGAGUAACACGUACAUAACUUGCCCUCAAGCGGGGGAUAGCCUUGGGAAACUGAGAGUAAUACCCCAUAGAAUUAUUGGACGGCAUCGUUUGAUAAUUAAAACUACGGUGCUUGGGGAUAGAUGUGCGUCUGAUUAGCUAGUUGGUGAGGUAACUGCUCACCAAGGCGACGAUCAGUAGGGGGCGUGAGAGCGUGGCCCCCCACACGGGUACUGAGACACGGACCCGACUCCUACGGGAGGCAGCAGUAAGGAAUAUUGGUCAAUGGAGGGAACUCUGAACCAGCCAUGCCGCGUGAAGGAUGACGGCCCUCUGGGUUGUAAACUUCUUUUGGAUGGGGCGAAAAAACGGGAUUUAUCCUGGACUGACGGUACCAUCAGAAUAAGCACCGGCUAACUCCGUG